UCUAAGUUAAAAUCAGUUUUCCUGCGAUACGAUUUAUUUUCGGACUCUUAGAAGUUCUUUAGUCGUGUAGGCUUAGAACACGUACCGAGCUAAUCCCAUCUACGUGUUUUAACWCGAACUGUGCUGUACUUUGCCAUUUUUGUGUUUAGCAAUUCAAAGUCAAAUUGUUUACACAACAUGCCCGGGCUUGUCCUCACCUUUGAGAGCUCAAGGUCAUGUAAUUAGAAAAACAACAAAAACUCCCUAUAAAUCAUGUCUCUUUGACCAAAAAAGUUAGCUCUUUGGAUGACUAAUGACUUAGGGACUGUUUGAUUUCUCAUGCAAGUCAAAAAUAAUCCCUACGACACCCUAACAACAAGACCGUCCUCGCUGUUCGAGCUGAACGCGUGUGGGCGAGGUAAAUAGUUUUCGCUGAAAGUAUUCCAAUCCCGUGAGAUAAAACGUUUCAUUUGGGCGACUGUUUUGGUGUCAAUGUAAAUGUUGAGGGAUGGAAAGUGGGCUUAAGUGACUUUCCUGUAGAAGAUUUUUUCUUCCAGACCGACUACUGAAGAGAGAUUUUAGAAGUAGAACAUGUGAACUCUAUCGAUGAAACAGCUAUCUCUUUGCCACAGGGAUCCCAACUAGAGAAACCGAAACCACUAAUACUUAGGGUUGUGAGCCUGUGGUUUUGACAUGUUUUGGCUUAACAUCCGGUAGUUGCCGCUCAGUCAACCGCAGUGUUUGCCCCCCAGUCAACUUCAAAAAAGUCAAGUGAUUGAUAGUCCUCAAUAUGCUGGAAGACUUUGAAAUGAGAAAUACCUUUCUUUUCCAUGCAGUACUACUUUCCAAAGAUUGCAGAUGGAACCUCAAUUGUCAAACCGUGAGAAGCGAUAUUCAAUUAUAAAUCCAUGUACCACCAGUUUUUUGAGGUCAAACUACCACGACCAGUCAAGAUUAUGAACGCAUAAAAUAUGUAUUUUCGCCAGUACUUUUAUUAGACAAUAAGUUGGAUAUUUACAUCAAAUAACUUGGUUAUCAGUAACAGUGCUGAAGCGCUUGGAGCAAAUCAUUUAUGAUCAUAAAUUCAAUUUAAUUAUAUCUUACAUUAUCUAUCUUUAAGCUGCUAUAGYUCAUUUGUAUACACACGCAAUAGCUUUAAACCCAAUAUAUUGUAAAGGUAGAUACUUCAUAUAUUGUUAUUAACUGUUGCCGUUAUUUAGAGGCAAAUAUGUUAAAAAAUACACGAGCUUCUCGCUCCUAUUUCCGCCGGAAGUACGAACUUCAUAAUGUACCGGAAGUACCUUUUCACUACUGUUCCAACGAGCUAAUUCUUCUAUUUCAUUUUAUCAUAUAUAGUAUAUAUCAAAUUUUAAAGCCUUUCUAUGCUAAGCAAUUCAAUCGGUUAUUGGUACUCUUGUGUUUGUUUUGUCAAAUAGUUUCAAUUUAUAAACAGUUCGUGGCAUAAAAAAAUCAAGAAACGUCCGACCUGGUUAUCCUGCUCCAAGCUAGAGAUUUUACUUCCGUUUGCUCGCAAAUUGUAGUAGGUUGGUCACGAUGACACCACCGACUGCAAACCACAAAUAAGGAUAUGACGUAACGAAGCACGAGUGUAAGGUGUAAGAACCCUAGUGUUGUCUAUUUUUAUAAUUACACAACUUUGAUAACUAGCUAUAACUCUAUACGCCUGGGUGUUUGGCUUCCGUCUUUUAAACUUCUAAGGCCUUUGUUAGAAUUUUUAUGAUCGACGAAAGCUAGACUGCGAGCACUUCUUGUAAAGAGUAUUUCCCUUG